rnacentral:rRNA from 1 species
GAUGAACGCUGGCGGCGUGCCUAAUACAUGCAAGUCGAGCGAACAGACGAGGAGCUUGCUCCUCUGACGUUAGCGGCGGACGGGUGAGUAACACGUGGAUAACCUACCUAUAAGACUGGGAUAACUUCGGGAAACCGGAGCUAAUACCGGAUAAUAUAUUGAACCGCAUGGUUCAAUAGUGAAAGACGGUUUUGCUGUCACUUAUAGAUGGAUCCGCGCCGCAUUAGCUAGUUGGUAAGGUAACGGCUUACCAAGGCAACGAUGCGUAGCCGACCUGAGAGGGUGAUCGGCCACACUGGAACUGAGACACGGUCCAGACUCCUACGGGAGGCAGCAGUAGGGAAUCUUCCGCAAUGGGCGAAAGCCUGACGGAGCAACGCCGCGUGAAUGAUGAAGGUCUUCGGAUCGUAAAACUCUGUUAUUAGGGUAGAACAAAUGUGUAAGUAACUAUGCACGUCUUGACGGUACCUAAUCAGAAAGCCACGGCUAACUACGUG